rnacentral:rRNA from 1 species
UAGCCGCAAAAUUCUGUGCUAAGGUAGCAUAAUCAUUAGUUCACUAAUUAUGAAAUAGAAUGAAUGAUCACACGAAUAAAUUAAUUUUUCUAUUAUUUUAAAAUAAAUUCAUCUUAUAGUUAAAAAGCUUUAUUUGCUAAGAAGGACAACAAGACCCUAACGAACUUACACUAAAAGUUUAACUGGGGCGGUUACCAAGAACAUCUUAAUCCUUUACUCCUCUUACACCAAAAAAUUUGAUUACCCCAAGUUACCGUAGGGAUAACAGCAUAAUAUUUUUCAAAAGUUCCUAUACAAAAAAAUCUUUAUGACCUCGAUGUUGAAUUAAAUCCCUAAUUUAAGCAAGAUUAAAUUUCUUAGGAAGUCUGUUCGACUUUUAAUUUUUUACAUGAU